GCCCCCGUAGCUCAGGGGAUAGAGCAGCGGCCUUCUAAUCCGUCGGGCGGAGGUUCGAAUCCUCCCGGGGGCGCCA
rnacentral:tRNA from 1 species